rnacentral:lncRNA from 1 species
UAGUCUAACUUCCCUGUCACGGCAAGCCCGACCGUUGCCGUAGCUUCUAAACCAGGGGCUGGGGGAAGCGGUAUUCGUGGCUCCCAUAUUCUCAUUUACCUUGCUCGUGUGCGUAUUAGAUCUGCUUUUGUGCUUACAGACAACUUUGGAUUCUUAUGAUUUUCUCCGGAGCUUUGAUUUUUUUUUUUCUUUUUUUCUUUGUUUCUUUCUUUGCUCUGUACUUUUGCAGGGUGAUGGAUUUUACUAUGCCUCCAUCAACAGGCGCUGGCUGGCAAAGUCGUCGUGUCCCAACGGAGACUCUUAGGCAGGACGGGAGGAGUUCAGAUCCGCAGCCUGCCAGAAGAGCGUCACCCGGGAGGGGUCGCUUGAGCUAUAGGCACUGGUGCCGAAGCCCAGUCGGGCAGUCAAAGGAGCCUUGUCACAGCUGGGAGCUCUGUGGAGAUGUGCGGCCGGCCGUGGAGGAUGAGCUCUGACUUGCGGCAUGGACACAGCUAAGUCCUGGGCUGCAUCAUACGUGAGUGGGGCUGGGAGGUGCGAGGCGGUUGUCCCCUAGGUGUGGUCACUGGUGCUGCUGGCCGUGGACGUUUGCCCACGGAGCUGAGAGGACCAAACAUACUAAUUGCCUGACACAGAGAUGAAUUAGCGCUUGUGGGGUUUCAGGUAGGUUCAGUGCAAGUGCAGCUUAGUGCAGUCCUGUGGAGUGAUGCUUGCACAUGUUCACAUUUGAAUGGUAGCUAAAACUAAGCCUCUGAACAGCAACUGUAACGUGAUUCUGGUGCAUGUCUUCCCAUUCUGCUGUACUUCUAAAGGAAGGGGAAACUUCUUAAGCUGCGGGCAAAACUCCUUGGCUUCUCUUGGCUGUUUCCAUGCUCGUGGGUGCUUUGGUGCUUGUUGCUUAAAGCUGAGGGUUUGGAAUUUUUCACUUAAGGUUUAUUGUUUGGCUUGCUGCUGAGGGUCUCUCACCCAGGAGUUACAGGUUAUUACUUUCCUUUAUGGGGCUCAGUCUUUAUCAGUCAGGCUUUACAGUUUGCUCGUUUAGUGAUCAGGGCGCAGAAUUUAAAAUCCAACCUCAUCCGUAAGUUUUAAAUCCUCAGAAAACACUGGGGUUCCGAGGCUUGCGGUUUGUCACUUAGCAUUCAGGGCUUAUGACUUGCUGAGAAGUGAGAAUGGCUAAAUCCUUAGAUAAUGAACUGUAAGUCCUGAAGCCUAAGCAGCAGGCUGCAAACCCUUCUUUGGGCUUCGUAACCUUCCCCUGUACCCAGCGUUCAGCUCUGCGCACUGACCUGAGCUCUGGGUUCCACGUGACAUAGGCCCAUCACACCGAGACUGGUGGCAUGAUGGGUGAGCUGAGAGGCUCUGGCCUGGGCUAGGGCAGAAGUGCAGACAGGCAAGAUCAUGCAUUUUCCCCUCAACUCUGCGAGCUGAAUCCUAGCCUUGAAGGAAAAAGCAGAGGAGUAGGCUGUCGGCUACUCG